AGGAGAGCAGUGGCCCUGCCUAGGGGUCCUGCCGGUCUUUUUGUGGGGCUUCCCUCCUCAAAACGUUUAUGUGCAUCAAUCCCGCAACAGGCUACAUACUGGAGGCUGAGAGAACAGAAAUGCAUAGGCAGCCUUUUUCUCCACUGAGUCUGGGGGAAAAAAAGGAAAAGAAGGCAUACACUGUGCAGUGCUGUGUGGACUGCUGGAUGCUGCCAGCGCUUGCAGAAAAAACUAGAACUAAUUCUUCUACAAAUGUGGAACCUAUUUUUCUGAGAAGCCUAACCAAGGAAACACCAAAUCUGGAAGUCUGUCACAGGAGCCAAGAAAGUUAAAAUGCAACCCCUUGAAGUGGGUACUAUUAUCAUCAUCUCACAGAAGGAUGAGAAGCACAGAGAGAGAUGGAGAAAGCUGCCUCUACAGCUACACAGCUUGUAGUCGACAUACAGUUAAAAAUUAUAGCCCCAAAUAUUUUAAAUUACACUUGACCAAGAUUAAGCUGAAACAAGAAGUCAUCAGCUUCAGUAGUAGGAGCCUUCAGAUGAAAGUGCUUUCCCAGUGUAAUGCGAUGAAUUAACAAUUAGCCUUUUUUUUUGAUAGAUAAGAAGAAAGGUCGGUAAAUAUUUAAAUUCCAAUAAUCAUAAAGGUCAAAUAAAUCUGUAAUUACUUUGAAUCUUGACAGCAUGCAUUUUAAAUUGUUAGUCUGCUUGUUACAAAAGGCAAAGAGCUUUAAUAAAGCCAAGGACUUUGACUUAUAACCUUGAGACCAUGAAUGCUUGUUAAAUAUAAAAAUACACAUUUGUCAGAAUAUUUACUGUAGAACCUGUCACCCCUGAC